CGAACUUCCGUUUAAUUGAUUAUGACGUACUUGUACUGAUUGAGAUUUUAACACGAAGUGAGUGGCGAACGGGUGAGUAACACGUGGGUAACCUGCCCAGAAGUAGGGGAUAACACCUGGAAACAGAUGCUAAUACCGUAUAACAGAGAAAACCGCAUGGUUUUCUUUUAAAAGAUGGCUCUGCUAUCACUUCUGGAUGGACCCGCGGCGUAUUAGCUAGUUGGUGAGGUAAAGGCUCACCAAGGCAGUGAUACGUAGCCGACCUGAGAGGGUAAUCGGCCACAUUGGGACUGAGACACGGCCCAGACUCCUACGGGAGGCAGCAGUAGGGAAUCUUCCACAAUGGACGCAAGUCUGAUGGAGCAACGCCGCGUGAGUGAAGAAGGGUUUCGGCUCGUAAAGCUCUGUUGUUAAAGAAGAACGUGGGUAAGAGUAACUGUUUACCCAGUGACGGUAUUUAACCAGAAAGCCACGGCUAACUACGUGCCAGCAGCCGCGGUAAUACGUAGGUGGCAAGCGUUAUCCGGAUUUAUUGGGCGUAAAGCGAGCGCAGGCGGUCUUUUAAGUCUAAUGUGAAAGCCUUCGGCUCAACCGAAGAAGUGCAUUGGAAACUGGGAGACUUGAGUGCAGAAGAGGACAGUGGAACUCCAUGUGUAGCGGUGAAAUGCGUAGAUAUAUGGAAGAACACCAGUGGCGAAGGCGGCUGUCUGGUCUGCAACUGACGCUGAGGCUCGAAAGCAUGGGUAGCGAACAGGAUUAGAUACCCUGGUAGUCCAUGCCGUAAACGAUGAUUACUAAGUGUUGGAGGGUUUCCGCCCUUCAGUGCUGCAGCUAACGCAUUAAGUAAUCCGCCUGGGGAGUACGACCGCAAGGUUGAAACUCAAAAGAAUUGACGGGGGCCCGCACAAGCGGUGGAGCAUGUGGUUUAAUUCGAAGCUACGCGAAGAACCUUACCAGGUCUUGACAUCUUCUGACAGUCUAAGAGAUUAGAGGUUCCCUUCGGGGACAGAAUGACAGGUGGUGCAUGGUUGUCGUCAGCUCGUGUCGUGAGAUGUUGGGUUAAGUCCCGCAACGAGCGCAACCCUUAUUACUAGUUGCCAGCAUUAAGUUGGGCACUCUAGUGAGACUGCCGGUGACAAACCGGAGGAAGGUGGGGACGACGUCAAAUCAUCAUGCCCCUUAUGACCUGGGCUACACACGUGCUACAAUGGAUGGUACAACGAGUCGCGAGACCGCGAGGUUAAGCUAAUCUCUUAAAACCAUUCUCAGUUCGGACUGUAGGCUGCAACUCGCCUACACGAAGUCGGAAUCGCUAGUAAUCGCGGAUCAGCAUGCCGCGGUGAAUACGUUCCCGGGCCUUGUACACACCGCCCGUCACACCAUGAGAGUUUGUAACACCCAAAGCCGGUGGGGUAACC
rnacentral:rRNA from 1 species